rnacentral:rRNA from 1 species
UCCUACGGGAGGCAGCAGUAGGGAAUCUUCCGCAAUGGACGCAAGUCUGACGGAGCAACGCCGCGUGAGUGAUGAAGGUUUUCGGAUCGUAAAACUCUGUUGUUAGGGAAGAACAAGUACCGUUCGAAUAGGUCGGUACCUUGACGGUACCUAACCAGAAAGCCACGGCUAACUACGUGCCAGCAGCCGCGGUAAUACGUAGGUGGCAAGCGUUAUCCGGAAUUAUUGGGCGUAAAGCGCGCGCAGGCGGUUUCUUAAGUCUGAUGUGAAAGCCCACGGCUCAACCGUGGAGGGUCAUUGGAAACUGGGGAACUUGAGUGCAGAAGAGGAGAGUGGAAUUCCAUGUGUAGCGGUGAAAUGCGUAGAGAUAUGGAGGAACACCAGUGGCGAAGGCGACUCUCUGGUCUGCAACUGACGCUGAGGCGCGAAAGCGUGGGGAGCAAACAGGAUUAGAUACCCUGGUAGUCCACGCUGUAAACGAUGAGUGCUAGGUGUCGGGGGGUCCAACCCUCGGUGCCGGCGCAAACGCAUUAAGCACUCCGCCUGGGGAGUACGGUCGCAAGACUGAAACUCAAAGGAAUUGACGG